CCAGACUCCUACGGGAGGCAGCAGUGGGGAAUAUUGGACAAUGGACCAAGAGUCUGAUCCAGCAAUUCUGUGUGCACGAUGAAGUUUUUCGGAAUGUAAAGUGCUUUCAGUUGGGAAGAAAAAAAUGACGGUACCAACAGAAGAAGUGACGGCUAAAUACGUGCCAGCAGCCGCGGUAAUACGUAUGUCACAAGCGUUAUCCGGAUUUAUUGGGCGUAAAGCGCGUCUAGGUGGUUAUGUAAGUCUGAUGUGAAAAUGCAGGGCUCAACUCUGUAUUGCGUUGGAAACUGUGUAACUAGAGUACUGGAGAGGUAAGCGGAACUACAAGUGUAGAGGUGAAAUUCGUAGAUAUUUGUAGGAAUGCCGAUGGGGAAGCCAGCUUACUGGACAGAUACUGACGCUGAAGCGCGAAAGCGUGGGUAGCAAACAGGAUUAGAUACCCUGGUAGUCCACGCCGUAAACGAUGAUUACUAGGUGUUGGGGGUCGAACCUCAGCGCCCAAGCAAACGCGAUAAGUAAUCCGCCUGGGGAGUACGUACGCAAGUAUGAAACUCAAAGGAAUUGACGGGGGCCCGCACAAG
rnacentral:rRNA from 1 species